AUGCGCUGGGCUCCAACCCUCGUGGAAGGAGCGCUUUUAUUAGAUCAAAGCCAAUCGGGCCUUCGGGUCCGUUUACUUGGUGACUCUGAAUAACUUUGCUGAUCGCAUGGUCUCGUACCGGCGACGUAUCUUUCAAGUGUCUGCCUUAUCAACUGUCGAUGGUAGGUUAUGCGCCUACCAUGGUGGUAACGGGUAACGGGGAAUCAGGGUUCGAUUCCGGAGAGGGAGCCUGAGAAACGGCUACCACAUCCAAGGAAGGCAGCAGGCGCGCAAAUUACCCACUCCCAGCUCGGGGAGGUAGUGACGAAAAAUAACGAUACGGAACUCUUACGAGGCUCCGUAAUCGGAAUGAGUACACUUUAAAUCCUUUAACGAGGAUCUAUUGGAGGGCAAGUCUGGUGCCAGCAGCCGCGGUAAUUCCAGCUCCAAUAGCGUAUAUUAUUAUUGUUGCGGUUAAAAAGCUCGUAGUUGGAUCUCGGUUUCGGGCGAGCGGUGUACCUUGCGGUAUUUACUGUUUGCCCGGACGAUUUUGUUGGUUCGUUUAUGGUUCUCUUAACCGAGUGCCAUAAGUGGCCAGCACGUUUACUUUGAAAAAAUUGGAGUGCUCAAAGCAGGCGCUACAGCCUGAACAUUAGUGCAUGGAAUAAUGGAAUAGGAUCUCGGUUCUAUUUCGUUGGCUUUCGGAGUCGAGGUAAUGAUUAAUAGGGACAGACGGGGGCAUUCGUACUGCGACGUUAGAGGUGAAAUUCUUGGAUCGUCGCAAGACGAACUACUGCGAAAGCAUUUGCCAAGAAUGUUUUCAUUAAUCAAGAACGAAAGUUAGAGGUUCGAAGGCGAUCAGAUACCGCCCUAGUUCUAACCAUAAACGAUGUCGACCGGCGAUCCGUUAUCGUUAACUGAAUGACUUAACGGGCAGCCUCCGGGAAACCAGAGUGUUUGGAUUCCGGGGGAAGUAUGGUUGCAAAGCUGAAACUUAAAAGAAUUGACGGAAGGGCACCACCAGGAGUGGAGCCUGCGGCUUAAUUUGACUCAACACGGGAAAUCUCACCAGGCCCGGACACCGGAAGGAUUGACAGAUUGAGAGCUCAUUCUUGAUUCGGUGGGUGGUGGUGCAUGGCCGUUCUUAGUUGGUGGAGCGAUUUGUCUGGUUAAUUCCGAUAACGAACGAGACUCUGGCCUACUAACUAGACGUUAGAUCCCUUUGUGGGUCUAUCGCAGC
rnacentral:rRNA from 1 species